rnacentral:rRNA from 1 species
CAGCUCGUGUCGUGAGAUGUUGGGUUAAGUCCCGCAACGAGCGCAACCCUCACUUUUAGUUGCCAUCAUUAAGUUGGGCACUCUGAAAGAACUGCCAGUGAUAAGCUGGAGGAAGGUGGGGAUGACGUCAAGUCCUCAUGGCCCUUACGUGUUGGGCUACACACGUGCUACAAUGGUAUCUACAACAGGAAGCAAAAUCGCGAGGUUAAGCAAAUCCUUAAAAGAUACCUCAGUUCGGAUUGCACUCUGCAACUCGAGUGCAUGAAGCUGGAAUUACUAGUAAUCGUGGAUCAGCGUGCCACGGUGAAUGCGUUCCCGGGUCUUGUACACACCGCCCGUCACACCAUGGGAGUUGGUUCUACCUUAAGGCAAGGCUUAAACCCUUGACCACGGUAUAGUCAGCGACUGGGGUGAAGUCGUAACAAGGUAACCUCGUA